rnacentral:lncRNA from 1 species
GGCGGUGCCGGUGAGGCCGGCAGGACCUGAGCGGGUUUGGGAGUCCGCUAGGCGCUGCCCCCACUAGAGUCGGACUCGCAGUGCACCCCCCGGGAGGGAGGCAGGUAGCCCUACAGCCGGAGGACAGCAGAGAUGCCCGACAGCAGGCCGAGCUGGUCGGGGGCUGCGAGAUAGCGCCGGCUGGAAGGCCCGCAGGAGUCAGAGGUGAUGAGCCGGGCAGGUGGGUGGAAAGCCGGCGGCGGUCAGAGAAUGGAUGCCAAGCGAGACUGCCAAUGACUCAGGACGUCCCAGUGGAGUCACAGCGUGAGCCCAGCACCGAGGUUUUCAGAGUCAGAUGACUGCAGAGAAGAUGCUGAUGGCACUACUGGCCAAAACGGGCUUCACUGGAGCUGGGGGCGAGAAGUACCGCGUGGAUAAUAAGGUCGUCUGGGAAGGAGUGACGUCGGAGUAGAGCUGAAAGGAGAGGGAGCGAGUGGGGGAGUGCCUAGCACGUUGAAGAGCCGCAAAGAGGAAGGAGGGCGCAGGGACAGAGGCCGAUGAGAAAGGCAGGACCACCGCGCAGCACACUAAGGACUUGCGUUUACUCCGAGUGAGAUGCGGUGCUGAGCAUCGGCUGUGUAGACUGAGGCGCGCCGGCCGUUGCCCCUCAAGUCCCCGAGCCAGCGCUCAGCCCGGCUGCCCCGCAGCUCCCACGGCCACACGAUUCCCCAUCCCGCGCGCCCACUCGCCUCGUGCGGGCCGUAGACCACAGCCAGUGCCUUGGUGUUGCCCUGCUCAAUGUAGGCCGAGCCGUCAGCCUGCGCGAACACGCCCAUCCGCGCCUGGAUCUUGCGCAGCUCCCCGGCGCGCCGCCCGUCCACCCGGUAGCCCUGGUCCGACAAGAGCUCCAGCCCCGCCAUGCUGCCCGGCCGCCAGGUCCGCUCUCUGCCUACUUCUCUGAGCCGCGGGAGAACUACAGCUCCCGGCGGCUCCGACCGCCCGGAAUCUACGGUUUCCGGAGGUCCGCCAUCACUUCCGGUUCCGGGGAACUACAGCUCUCCGCGGCCCUGACCUCCGUGGAUCUGCGGUUUCCGGCGUUCCGCUGUCACUUCCUGUCCUGGUGAACUGGAGUUCACCGCGGCCCCGACCUCCCCGGAUCUACGGUUUCCGGCGGUCCGGCUCUACUUCUGUCUCCGGGGAACUGCGGCGGCGCUAUCGGGGAAGCAGCGGCUGGGCCCGCAGCCGUUCCCGGAGCUGUGCCACGGGUGCCAGGAGGUGGGCGCCCGCCGAAGGAGGAAUUGCCCAGUCACGCCCUCGUGACCAGUGGUGCCUGCAUUCAGCCCUUCCCCGCGCCCCAAGUGUGAAAGUGGAAGGAUGAACCCAGUGGGGUGCGACACUGACAGGAGAAGGCAUUGAGCGGUCCUAGGAAAGUGACCAGGCUGGUGUCCCAGGAUGGUCCACACCUGGCACCUCUCCAGUCCUCUCAUGCCCUCCCUUUACACCGAGCUUCCACACUGCAGUCAGGUGGGCCUCCCUUUUCCCUUUGAGGAUGCAGAUUUCCUCAUCCUUUCCAGAGAGGGGUUGUAUGUCUGUUUAUCUCUUGCCACUUAACCUCAGCGGCUUCAAAUAAUAAAAAUCAUUCUAUUA